rnacentral:rRNA from 1 species
ACUCAAAUGAAUAGACGGGGGCCCGCACAAGCGGCGGAGCAUGCGGCUUAAUUCGAUGCAACGCGAAGAACCUUACCAAGGCUUGACAUACACCGAAAACUCGUAGAGAUACGGGGUCCUUCGGGGCGGUGUACAGGUGGUGCAUGGUUGUCGUCAGCUCGUGUCGUGAGAUGUUGGGUUAAGUCCCGCAACGAGCGCAACCCUCGUUCCAUGUUGCCAGCACUUCGGGUGGGGACUCAUGGGAGACUGCCGGGGUCAACUCGGAGGAAGGUGGGGAUGACGUCAAAUCAUCAUGCCCCUUAUGUCUUGGGCUGCACGCAUGCUACAAUGGCCAGUACAGAGGGCUGCGAAACCGUAAGGUCGAGCGAAUCCCAAAAAGCUGGUCUCAGUUCGGAUCGGGGUCUGCAACUCGACCCCGUGAAGUCGGAGUCGCUAGUAAUCGCAGAUCAGCAACGCUGCGGUGAAUACGUUCCCGGGCCUUGCACACACCGCCCGU